UCAGGUGGCCGCAGAGAAUAGGCCCAAGCGACUGUUUUCCAAAAACAUAGGUUUCUGCUAAGUCGCAAGACGAUGUAUAGGAGCUGACGCCUGCCCGGUGCUGGAAGGUUAAGGGGAUCUGUUAGAGCAAUCGAAGCAGUGAACUUAAGCACCAGUAAACGGCGGCCGUAACUAUAACGGUCCUAAGGUAGCGAAAUUCCUUGUCGGGUAAGUUCCGACCCGCACGAAAGGCGUAACGAUUUGGGCACUGUCUCAACAACAGACUCGGUGAAAUUGUA
rnacentral:rRNA from 1 species